rnacentral:rRNA from 1 species
GAUGAACGCUGGCGGCGUGCCUAAUACAUGCAAGUCGAGCGAACAGACGAGGAGCUUGCUCCUCUGACGUUAGCGGCGGACGGGUGAGUAACACGUGGAUAACCUACCUAUAAGACUGGGAUAACUUCGGGAAACUGGGGCUAAUACCGGAUAGGAGCUCCUGCUGCAUGGUGGGGGUUGGAAAGUUUCGGCGGUUGGGGAUGGACUCGCGGCUUAUCAGCUUGUUGGUGGGGUAGUGGCUUACCAAGGCUUUGACGGGUAGCCGGCCUGAGAGGGUGACCGGCCACAUUGGGACUGAGAUACGGCCCAGACUCCUACGGGAGGCAGCAGUGGGGAAUAUUGCACAAUGGGCGGAAGCCUGAUGCAGCAACGCCGCGUGCGGGAUGACGGCCUUCGGGUUGUAAACCGCUUUCGCCUGUGACGAAGCGUGAGUGACGGUAAUGGGUAAAGAAGCACCGGCUAACUACGUG